ensembl:lncRNA
GUCGUUAAGGAGCCGGUAGGGGUUAGAGGCAGGUCGUUAAGGAGCAGUGGAUACAGAGUCUGCUUAGACAGUGGAUACAGAGGCAGGAGCAGGUAGGGGUUAGACAGUGGAUACAGAGGCAGGUCAUUAGGGAGCAGGUAGGGGUUAGACAGUGGAUACAGAGACAGGUCGUUAAGGAGCAGGUAGGGGUUAGACAGUGGAUACAGAGACAGGUCAUUAGGGAGCAGGUAGGGGUUAGACAGUGAAUACAGAGACAGGUCAUUAGGGAGCAGGUAGGGGUUAGACAGUGGAUACAGAGGCAGGUCAUGAAGGAGCAGGUAGGGGUUAGACAGUGAUACCAGAGACAGCUCAUUAAGGAGCAGGUAGGGGUUAGAUAGUGGAUACAGAGACAGGUCAUUAAGGAGCAGGUAGGGGUUAGGCUGUGAAUACAGAGACAGGUCAUUAAGGAGCAGGUAGGGGUUAGGUAGUGGAUACAGAGACAGGUCAUUAAGGAGCAGGUAGGGGUUAGGCUGUGAAUACAGAGACAGGUCUUAAAGGAGCAGGUAG